rnacentral:piRNA from 1 species
UACAUGCAACUCGAAUGGCAGAGUGUCUC